rnacentral:lncRNA from 1 species
ACAUGGUGUUGGGAGAUAGAGAGAGAGCUAUCGAUCGGCCAAGCAAAUCAACCAUGUCUAGCUCAGCCGCAGGAAGUUACCAGGAAGAUAGAGUGGCAGGUGUUCGUGAGCUUUAGAAGACUCGGUUCUCACCACCAAUAGCAUUUUGACUUUAUGGUCUUCGUCGUGAUAUAUUUACCACUUUCUGCUUUAACUAUUUUCUUGUGCAUUUGAUCGGUUUCUUAUUGCUACUCCGUUAAUGAAUGACAGAGAAGAGAGAAGCCCAAGCACAACGUUCGAGACAAAGCUAUGACCCAGCAGCGACGAAGCAGAGUUUUAGAGUCGCUUAUCCCUCUUUCGAGUUUUAUCAGUAUUCGUGAGUAAGCGACAUCAAAUGGCAACAUGCACAUUUGCAAUCUGUAACCUGAUGUUCAUAAGUCAACGAGCAAAGAGAAAU